AUGCAGUCCUUUACGUGCCAUUCCAUCGCAAGUAAAACUUCAGCGAGUCGAUCAUCUUCCGAUGGGUCGUUGGGUGAGGCCAGAGGUAUAAACACGUGAUUGCCAGACUUUAUAAUCGGCGAGUUCGACCACAACCAAUCGAGGCCGGGUAGCUAGUCCUAUGGAAAGCAGAGGUGAGCGAACCAACCCUCUCUCGAGGGAAAUUGGCGCCUCAAUGGGAGGGCCCCUACCGAAUAACACAGAAGGUCCGAGAAGGCAUCUACUGGUUGGCAACUAUGGAAAGCAAAACCUUACGCUAAACUUGGCAUGUCAGCAACGUGAAAAGAUUUUAUCCUUGUAGCAUCGCUCGGUCGGAAUAACAAACACACAAUGCCGAAAGCAAAAAAAAUUCUCAUUACUAUGCAGACUACGACCCGAGCCUAAGGCUCCAUACAAAAA